UACAAAUGUUCCAUAAAUAGUUGUUAUACUGUAUUGUUUUUUAUUUCUAUUACUUUUUAUUGGUGUAUUGUUAAUUUUUAUUGCUUUUAUUCCCCCAAAUAUUUUAAAUCCACAGUUGGUUGAAUCCAGAUGCAGAUCCAGGGACUGGGAGGGCUGAUGGAGGGCUGACUGUGUUUCUGCUCAGGCAGAUGUGAAGUGAGCCCUAAAAGAACUUCCCACUGGCCAAGAUUGUAGGAACUUACAACGCAAGUGGAAUCAUCCUGCCAUGAUACAGUCUGACGGGCAGAAGGGCACCGUGUGAUGAAAAGAGUGAUCAGGAGACAUCAGUGAAAAAGAGAGAUGGCGUCUUACUAUGUUGCCCAAGCUAGUCUCGAACUCCUGGCCUCAAGCAAUUCCCUUGCCUUGGAAUCCCAUAACACUGGAAUUAUAGGCAUGAGCCACCACACUCAGCCUGACAUACUCAUUUUUAAGCAAAGGACUUGUAAGUCAUGGCUUGUUAAUCUAACGCCGACGAUAAUGUCUCAGGCAGAAGCCACAGCCCAGAAGACUUCCCAGCGUGGGAAGGCUUAGGAGACCAGCUGGCAUCAGGCACAUUCCACAGAAAUACUGAGAAACUUAUGAAGAACAAACAGACCCGGCAGGAGCAAGAGGAAGAUACCUGGCCUGAGUAGCACUAAAUAUGUCCCAAUUAAACAGAACUACUAUCCCAAUUAAGCAAC